rnacentral:rRNA from 1 species
UACGUAGGGUGCAAGCGUUGUCCGGAAUUAUUGGGCGUAAAGAGCUCGUAGGCGGUCUGUCGCGCGGCUGUGAAAACCCGGGGCUCAACCCCGGGCCUGCAGUCGAUACGGGCAGACUAGAGUGCGGUAGGGGAGACUGGAAUUCCUGGUGUAGCGGUGAAAUGCGCAGAUAUCAGGAGGAACACCAAUGGCGAAGGCAGCACUCUGGGACGUGACUGACGCUGAGACGCGAAAGCGUGGGGAGCAAACAGG